AUGUGAUGUAAUUCCUACAAACUUAGUGCACCAUAUCUAAUUAGAACUCUGGAAUUAAGCACACUUGGGAUAGAGUAGUACUAUGAUGGGUGACCUCCCGAGAAUUCCUAUUGUUUUACAUG
rfam:Picea glauca, whole genome shotgun sequence.